rnacentral:rRNA from 1 species
UACGGGGGGGGCAAGCGUUGUUCGGAAUUACUGGGCGUAAAGGGCGCGUAGGCGGUCUACUAAGUUGGAUGUGAAAACUCUGGGCUUAACCCAGAGCCUGCAUUCAAAACUGAUAGGCUGGAGUUCUGGAGGGGAUAGCGGAAUUCCUGGUGUAGCGGUGAAAUGCGCAGAUAUCGGGAGGAACACCAGUGGCGAAGGCGGCGAUCUGGGUAGAUACUGACGCUGAGGUGCGAAAGCGUGGGGAG